rnacentral:rRNA from 1 species
UUCUUUAUCACCGAGUGCUUGCACUCACCGGUAAAGGGUUGAGUGGCGAACGGGUGAGUAACACGUGGGCAACCUGCCCAAAAGAGGGGGAUAACACUUGGAAACAGGUGCUAAUACCGCAUAACCAUAGUUACCGCAUGGUAGCUAUGUAAAAGGUGGCUAUGCUACCGCUUUUGGAUGGGCCCGCGGCGCAUUAGCUAGUUGGUGGGGUAAAGGCUUACCAAGGCAAUGAUGCGUAGCCGAACUGAGAGGUUGAUCGGCCACAUUGGGACUGAGACACGGCCCAAACUCCUACGGGAGGCAGCAGUAGGGAAUCUUCCACAAUGGGCGAAAGCCUGAUGGAGCAACGCCGCGUGGGUGAAGAAGGUCUUCGGAUCGUAAGACCCUGUUGUUAGAGAAGAAAGUGCGUGAGAGUAACUGUUCACGUUUCGACGGUAUCUAACCAGAAAGCCACGGCUAACUACGUGCCAGCAGCCGCGGUAAUACGUAGGUGGCAAGCGUUAUCCGGAUUUAUUGGGCGUAAAGGGAACGCAGGCGGUCUUUUAAGUCUGAUGUGAAAGCCUUCGGCUUAACCGGAGUAGUGCAUUGGAAACUGGGAGACUUGAGUGCAGAAGAGGAGAGUGGAACUCCAUGUGUAGCGGUGAAAUGCGUAGAUAUAUGGAAGAACACCAGUGGCGAAAGCGGCUCUCUGGUCUGUAACUGACGCUGAGGUUCGAAAGCGUGGGUAGCAAACAGGAUUAGAUACCCUGGUAGUCCACGCCGUAAACGAUGAAUGCUAAGUGUUGGA